rnacentral:lncRNA from 1 species
CGAUCAAAAGAUAGUUUAGGGUUUUCUCCCCAAAAAGUAUUUAUACUAAGGGGUCUGAACCGGGUCAGCCAAAGACAAACUAGGUACUGAUCCAGUUUGGUUGGGUAAAAGAUUUCUUGCUCCGCCUUGUCUUGUCUUCUCUUCACUCGGAGCACAACUUGGAGCAAAGAAAUUAGGGCUUGUGUUGCACAUUGUUUCAGGUCCUUCUUACUCAGAGUAGCUGAUGCAGACAUCAGUACCUGGAGUCAUGGAGAGGACAAGUGCAACGGACAUGCGAGUCUAGCCAAAGGUAAAGGAGAGACGAUCUCCCUUGUUGGGAAAGUCAAUGACGAAGGGGAGACGACUGUCAUUGAUUUGCCUUCUCUAGACUCCUAUCCCAUCACUAAGAAGCCAUCAAACCUUUCAGCUCACGUCCCAGCCGAACCAGACCAGAAAACAUCAACCGACUUGACCCGACGCCGAGAAAACCUCUCAAAGUCAACCGACGUCAAUUCUGAUGAGUUAAACUACUCCAGCUUCAAGAUUCAUCAACCAAACACCUACAAGAAGACAUUUUGUCGUGGAAGAAUUCCCCUGGAGCGAGUUCAUUUAGAAGUUGCCCGAGACCCUCCAUUUAGAGCCUACCGAGAGCCGAGUCAUGAGUUCAAGCUUUGUUUCUCUUUUUCAAGUGUUGCUGCGAAUUCUCAAGUCACUGGAGAUCAUAUUAGACGUACAUGGAAGAGAAAAGAAAGCUCAGAAUCUAUUUGGAGCGUUCACACUAAAGAAAAGCCACCUAGACCAAGACUUGCCUUAAACGGAACCGUUCACACUUGUGUUCACACCAGGCGACUUCUACACUUAAAAACUCGUGGUCCCACUUUCAAGAGACGUCCUCCAAGGCUUCUAGAAGACAUAUUUUGGCCAGAACAAGUUUUCCUUUUGUGCCUUAGACAUUAAAAUGUCAAACGGCUCUUUUCCUCAUUAUUAGCAAAUCUUUGUUUCCUUUUUUUUUUGUUUUGUGAACGUUGAGCAGACUCUUUGUAAGCUCUUCGUCUCUUUCUUUGUUGGACACACAUCUCUAUUCUAAUAAACUUCAGUUUUUGUUUCAAAGCUUUGUGCCUUUGAUUCUGUUCUUGUUUUAUCGAUUUCUCUUAAGUAUUGUGUGUGGAAUUCCCCUUGCUUAAGAAUCGAUUGAUCCUGUUCUUUCUAGUGUGUGAUUAUCCCCAGGAAAGUCAGUAUCAACCCUUGUUUGUCUCAGCAAAACCGCACCUGAGCCAAGCUUCCAUCAUUCACCAUCGAUCCACCCUUCCGCAUAAGCCUUUUAGAGCCAUGAGGCCUUUGGUUUAAAGACUUGAUUUCGAGUCUUACAUCAUUGGUAUCAGAGCUUCAAAAGCUCCUAUCUAUCAGGUUAUUUCGUUCCUUUCAUUAGUUUUUCAUUAGUUUUCAUAUUUCUCAUAAAAAUCCUAAAAGGUAUUGUUUAUCGUUAGAUCUGUUGUUUCAAUUUUAUAAAAAUCAUAAAAAAACCUAGAAAAAUUUUCUUUUGCUAUUUUAGUUUCUUAACCCCUUAAAAAAGCCAAAAAAAAUUGUUACUAGAAAUUUAGAAAUCAAUUUAUUAGUUUUAAUCCAAGCAAACUCAAACUAGAAAUUUUCUGCAAUUUUUCUGUUUUGUGAUUUUGUUUUGAUUUGAAUAAAACAUUGAUUUCUUUUGAAUCUUCUUGUGAGAGGUACCAUGGGACAUGUUGUUGAAGACCCUGUUGCUACCAUGGCCCGAGCCUUCACAGCCUUUCAAGAUGAAGUGAGAAACAUGGGCUUAAGGCUAGAACAAAACAUCGCCAACAUAGGCGAGAGACUUGGCUGUGUUGAAGCACCACCCAACGGUGCAAACAGAGGCGCCCCACCACCCCAAGCUGACCAGCACGAAGAUAACAUGCCAGAUCUUGAAGAUGAUUUGCCCCCUGAUCGAAACAGAGCCCCGGAUCCACAACUACGACAACCUCGCCGGAGAGAUCCAAUGAACCGAAACCGGAUCCGUGAAGAGGUUCAAGGGCCGAACAAUGACUUGAAGAUGACUCCUCCAACCUUUGCUGGGAAGGUGGAUCCAGAUGCCUACCUUGAUUGGGAGAGACGUAUGGAGUAUAUCUAUGAGUGCUACAACUACCCGGAGCCAAAGAAAGUCACCUUUGCGGCUGCUCAACUAACUGAUCAUGCCCUUGCCUGGUGGGAUCGAGAGAUGGCUGAGAGAAGACGCUACAGAGAAGGACCACUCAAUUCUUGGGUGGAGAUGAAAACCUUACUCAAGGAGAUAUGUCCCACCUCACUACCACCGCGAUCUUCAAAGAAAAUUCAGAAAACUGUACCAGGGUGAAAGGACAGUAGAAGAGUACUAUGAUGAGUUUGAGAUCUUGAGGAACAGGCUGGAGCUAGAGGAAUCAGAAGAGACACUCAUGUCCCAUUUCAUUGAAGGUCUCAAUGACCGGAUCGCUAGAAAAGUGGAGAGACAACCAUACCAUCAACUUCACGAGCUGUUGCACCUAGCCAUCCAAGUGGAGCAACAGAUAAAGAAGAAGACAUCUACUGAUCAGAAAGCUAAGUCUAAUCCACCAACAUGGAGUGCACCAACACCUCAGCUCAUUGACAAAGGAAAGUCCCUUGAAAUUGAAUCUCAAUUCAAAAGUAAGGUGCAUGAAUCCUUAAGAGAUGUGCGCCAAGAGCAAGGUAAGUCUUCUACUCCUUACCACACACGUGAAGUGACUUGUUACAGAUGCAAAGGAAGAGGUCACAUAUCACGUGACUGCCCAAACCCAAGAGUGAUGAUCGUUUUACCAUCCGGUGACUAUGAAUCGCAAGAUGAAGAAGAACCUGAGAAUGAUAAGGAGACUGUCGAAUAUGCUGAUGAAGGAGAAUCUCUGGUUAUACUAAGAGCUUUAAACGCUCAGGUUUUUGAAGAAGACAAAGCCCAAAGAGAGAAUCUCUUUCACACUCAUUGUACCGUGAAAGACAAGGUAUGUCAUCUCAUUAUAGAUAGCGGUUCUUGUACUAACAUUGCAAGUUGUUUGAUGAUUGAGAAGCUAGGUUUUACUACUACAAGUCACCCUAGACCUUACAAGCUUAAGUGGCUGAAUGACAAAGAGGAGCUGAGCGUUUCCAAACAAGUGAAAGUUCCCUUUUCAAUCGGCGACUACAAAGAUGAAGUAGUGUGUGAUGUUGCACCAAUGGAAGCUGGCCAUAUCCUAUUAGGACGACCAUGGCAGUAUGACAGAGAGGUAUCACACAAUGGGAGAACAAACCAAUACUCUUUCAGUUUUAACGAUCGGAGGAUCACACUUGCCCCAUUAGAUCAUUCGGAAGUCUGUGUGAUGCAAGCUAGAUCAAAAGAGAAAAGGCAACUCAAGGUAAGUCUUUUUCUACAAAAAUCUGAACCUUUACCUUCCUUAGAGCCCAUAACACACUUGUCUUUGCCAAAAGAGUCAAAAACAGGUUAUGAGAAGCUUGCGGCCACAGAGUUCAUCAAGAAAUCAACAAAGGAUGCACUCGAUAUUCACUCAACGUGGAAGGACAGCAAGGCAAGAAUGAAAGAACAUGGCUACCUCUACUCAAUGCUGAUCAGAGAAGCCCCACGAAUAUCAGACCAACCACCAAAACCGAACCAACACCAAGGUAAGCUUCUAAACCAAUACUCGGGAUACAAGUCUAACUUACUCUAUUUUGGUGCAGGUCAUAUGGUUUCGAGGUCGAAACCUCUUCCAGAGAGAGGGUAUGAUGCAGACAUCAGUACCUGGAGUCAGGGAGAGGACAAGUGCAACGGACAUGCGAGUCUAGCCAAGGGUAAAGGAGAGACGAUCUCCCUUGUUGGGCAAGUCAAUGACGAAGGGGAGACGACUGUCAUUGAUUUGCCUUCUCUAGACUCCUAUCCCAUCACUAAGAAUCCAUCAAACCUCUCAGCUCACGUCCCAGCUGAACCAGACCAGAAAACAUCAACCGACUUGACCCGACGCCGAGAAAACCUCUCAAAGUCAACCGACGUCAAUUCUGAUGAGUUAAACUACUCCAGCUUCAAGAUUCAUCAACCAAACACCUUCAAGAAGACAUUUUGUCGUGGAAGAAUUCCCCUGGAGCGAGUUCAUUUAGAAGUUGCCCGAGACCCUCCAUUUAGAGCCUACCGAGAGCCGAGUCAUGAGUUCAAGCUUUGUUUCUCUUUUUCAAGUGUUGCUGCGAAUUCUCAAGUCACUGGAGAUCAUAUUAGACGUACAUGGAAGAGAAAAGAAAGCUCAGAAUCUAUUUGGAGCGUUAACACUAAAGAAAAGCCACCUAGACCAAGACUUACCUUAAACGGAACCGUUCACACUUGUGUUCACACCAGGCGACUUCUACACUUAAAAACUCGUGGUCCCACUCUCAAGAGACGUCCUCCAAGGCUUCUAGAAGACAUAUUUUGGCCAGAACAAGUUUUCCUUUUGUGCCUUAGACAUUAAAAUGUCAAACGGCUCUUUUCCUCAUUAUUAGCAAAUCUUUGUUUCCUUUUUUUUUGUUUUGUGAACGUUGAGCAGACUCUUUAUAAGCUCUUCGUCUCUUUCUUUGUUGGACGCACAUCUCUAUUCUAAUAAACUUCAGUUUUUGUUUCAAAGCUUUGUGCCUCUGAUUCUGUUCUUGUUUUAUCGAUUUCUCUUAAGUAUUGUGUGUGGAAUUCCCCUUGCUUAAGAAUCGAUUGAUCCUGUUCUUUCUAGUGCGUGGUUAUCCCCAGGAAAGUCAGUAUCAACCCUUGUUUGUCUCAGCAAAACCGCACCUGAGCCAAGCUUCCAUCAUUCACCAUCGAUCCACCCUUCCGCAUAAGCCUUUUAGAGCCAUGAGGCCUUUGGUUUAAAGAUUUGAUUUCGAGUCUUACAUCAGCAGCCAACUCGGAGCACUCGCCAAAUGAUUUGGUCUCCAGAAUUCCC